GACAGAGGGUGCAAACGUUGUUCGGAAUUACUGGGCGUAAAGCGCGUGUAGGCGGCUUUGCAAGUCGGAUGUGAAAUCCCACGGCUCAACCGUGGAAGUGCAUUCGAAACUGCAAGGCUAGAGUCCUGGAGAGGAAGGUGGAAUGCUUGGUGUAGAGGUGAAAUGUAUAGAUAUCGUACGGAACACCCGUGGCGAAGGCGCCUUGCUGGGGUACAACUGACGCUGAAACACGAAAGCCAGGGGAGCAAACGGG
rnacentral:rRNA from 1 species